CUCAAACCUAGGCAUAGUAGGUACUUUCCCCAAGUUUUUUCUCACAAAGUUUUGUGUCCCAAUGCAUUCUUUUCUAGGUAGUAGAAGUUCUUUGUCUUUAACUGAGCUGACACUGCUUAUCCCAGGACUGAGUUUUACCUCAGUGACUGUGUACUUUGGUUUAGCUUCAAAUUUAAGAUUCUUUUCCCCAGAAAGCUUAUUUCCUUCUCUCGAUGUUCCAACUAAUUCCCUAAACUAAACCUUGCUAAAGGAACAACUUCCUUAGAGAUGAAGAAGGAUAUACCAGCUAUCUAAGCAGAUGAACGUAAGAACAGAAAUUGGCUCUGGAUACAAAUUUGUGGACCAUUUGGAGACUGUCUGAUGAAAGGCAUCAUAAGAAAAAAUCUUUGAGGAGACUGCUCUGACGGGACUGCUAAGGAAAAAGACCCAUCAGAAAGCAUUUGAACUUAGACCUCAAGCACAAACUGUUGAAGAAGAUGUGGAGCUCAAACAGGAACUGUAAUGAAAGUGAGCACAAUGAAGAUCCUAGUCAAUGAAAACAUGAAUCGGAAUAAAUAGAGAGCAUUAAUAGAAGAAAAUUAAAGAUUGACUGUCUCAGGUGGGAGAUUAAUGUUCCCAUUGAUAUAAGUGGAAGUGUUGCCAGUGAUUUCAGUGAGAGCAGGACUAGGUGCACAGACAGCAACUAGACUGAGCUGGAGGGCACUAGGAAAUAUAAUCUGAAAGAAAUGAAGAAGAGCAUCUCUCACUAAGAACAAGGAGAGAUCUACAACCUGU